UAUGGCCAGACCACCCUGACUGUCCCUGAUCUUAUCUGAUCUCAGAAGCUAAGCAAGGUUGAGCCUGGUUAGUACUUGCAUGGGAGACAAAAAGACAAAUACUGUAUGAUUCCACCU
rnacentral:rRNA from 1 species